ensembl:lncRNA
CUGGCUCCUGCUUUCCUCUUUUUGUUCUGUUCCAUCCAGCGCGUUUUCCAAGGUUUCAGUGAUGUCGAUUGGUGUGCAUUACCCGGAAGUACUGAGGUCCUUCUGCGGUUUCCAGCUUGGUGCUGUAUGGGAGCGACGUCACCUCUUUCGGGAACCUUGUUUUUACAUAUCUAGUCCCGUCUUCGAUGCUUGUACCGGGAUAUUGCCUCCUUUUUAUUUUUGAUAUGGGUGUUACUCCCCAUCCCGUCAGCUUUUGGAUGAUGACUUCAUCGUCCAGGUAAACAGAAUCCCUUCUAUUGUGCACUGGAAGAUCGCUGGACUUGAAGCAACUCUAAAUGGUGGCCUGUUUGUCCAAAGCCCAGGCUGACCCCCCACCCCUUCAACCUUUGCAGCAAUGCUGGCAGCACUAUUUCCCAAAGACAACCUCUGGAUAUGACGCUGAGCACGUGCACUCAACUUCUUCUUUGGUCGACCAUGGCGAGGCCUGUUCUGAGUGGAACCUGUCCUGUUAAACCGCUGUAUGGUCUUGGCCACCGUGCUGCAGCUCGGUGUCAGGGUCUUGGUAAUCUUCUUAAAGCCUAGGUCAUCUUUAUGUAGAGCAACAAUUAUUUUUUUCACAUCCUCAGAGUUCUUUGCCUUGAGGUGCCAUGUUGAACUUCCAGUGACCAGUAUGAGGGAGUGUGAGAGCGAUGACACCAAAUUUAACACACCUGCUCCCCAUUCACACCUGAGACCUUGUAACACUAACAAGUCACAUGACACCGGGGAGGGAAAAUGGCUAAUUGGGCCCGAUUUGGACAUUUUUACUUGGGGGUGUACUCACUUUUGUUGUCAGCGGUUUAGACAUUAAUGGCUGUGUGUUGAGUUAUUUUGAGGGGAUGGCAAAUUUAC